CGAGUGUACCCUCCUGUGGCUUGUUCCAGAGUUUCCUUUGGGAUUUAUGUGCUCUAAUCCCUUGAAACGACGGUGAAUAUGUUCAACAGUUCAACGUAACACGGCCAGGUGAAUCGAAUGGUUCCGUUUCAUCGAAGUCAUAAUGAAGUUAUGCAUUUUUUAUGCUAAGCGACAUUUAUUUGAAGGCUUUACUAAAUUUUGAGAAAUGCUUGUCAGGACAAAAGACUGAAAAAGACUGAAAAACUGCCUUUAAACACAGCCAUCAUUAAUGUAAAUGGAUUCCUAAGGAGCAUCCAAACAAUAUGUUAUUAGGAUCAUCAGAGACUGGCAAUUUUUUACCACUCACUGUGAUAGAUGCAUCUAAAUAAACAUUGAAAUGUUAAA